rnacentral:rRNA from 1 species
AACGAACGCUGGCGGCAGGCUUAACACAUGCAAGUCGAACGGAUGUAGCAAUACAUCAGUGGCAGACGGGUGAGUAACACGUGGGAACCUUCCUCGUUGUACGGGACAACUCAGGGAAACUUGAGCUAAUACCGUAUACGUCCGAGAGGAGAAAGAUUUAUCGCAAUGAGACGGGCCCGCGUCGGAUUAGCUAGUUGGUGGGGUAACGCCUACCAAGGCGACGAUCCGUAGCUGANCUGAGAGGAUGAUCAGCCACACUGGGACUGAGACACGGCCCAGACUCCUACGGGAGGCAGCAGUGGGGAAUCUUGGACAAUGGGCGCAAGCCUGAUCCAGCCAUGCCGCGUGAGUGAAGAAGGCCUUAGGGUUGUAAAGCUCUUUUGCCAGGGACGAUAAUGACGGUACCUGGAGAAUAAGCCCCGGCAAACUUCGUGCCAGCAGCCGCCGCGGUAAG